CCUACGGGUGGCAGCAGUGGGGAAUAUUGGACAAUGGGGGGAACCCUGAUCCAGCCAUGCCGCGUGUGUGAAGAAGGCCCUCGGGUUGUAAAGCACUUUCAGUGAGGAAGAACGCCUGGUGGUUAAUACCCAUCAGGAAAGACAUCACUCACAGAAGAAGCACCGGCUAACUCCGUGCCAGCAGCCGCGGUAAUACGGAGGGUGCGAGCGUUAAUCGGAAUUACUGGGCGUAAAGCGCGCGUAGGUGGCUUGAUAAGCCGGUUGUGAAAGCCCCGGGCUCAACCUGGGAACGGCAUCCGGAACUGUCAAGCUAGAGUGCAGGAGAGGAAGGUAGAAUUCCCGGGGUAGCGGUGAAAUGCGUAGGGAUCGGGAGGAAUACCAGUGGCGAAGGCGGCCUUCUGGGCUGACACUGAAACUGAGGUGCGAAAGCGUGGGUAGCAAACAGGAUUAGAUACCCCAGUAGUC
rnacentral:rRNA from 1 species